rnacentral:rRNA from 1 species
ACCUCUUCCCAUUCCGAACAGAGAAGUUAAGCUUCGUCACGCCGAUGGUACUGCGUAACAGUGGGAGAGUAGGUAGCCGCCGUUU